rnacentral:rRNA from 1 species
AAACCAGCACCUCAAGUGGUCAGGAUGAUUAUUGGGCCUAAAGCAUCCGUAGCCUGUUCUGUAAGUUUCCGGUUAAAUCCAUUAGCUCAACUAAUGGGCCGCCGAAAAUACUGCAAAACUAGGGAGUGGGACAGGUAGACGGUACUCGGUAGGAAGGGGUAAAAUCCUUUGAUCUAUUGAUGACCACCUGUGGCGAAGGCGGUCUACCAGAACACGUUCGACGGUGAGGGAUGAAAGCUGGGGGAGCAAACCGGAUUAGAAACCCGAGUAGUCC